CACGUAGGCACCAAGCGUUGUCCGGAUUUAUUGGGCGUAAAGAGCUCGUAGGCGGUUCAGUAAGUCGGGUGUGAAAACUUUGGGCUUAACCCAAAGCGUACAUCCGAUACUGCUGUGACUUGAGUACGGUAGGGGAGCGGGGAAUUCCUAGUGUAGCGGUGAAAUGCGCAGAUAUUAGGAGGAACACCGGUGGCGAAGGCGCCGCUCUGGGCCGAAACUGACGCUGAGGAGCGAAAGCAUGGGUAGCAAACAGG
rnacentral:rRNA from 1 species